UGUGCCGCCUGCCGCGUGGCUGUGGGCCCCCAGCCACCCGAGUGGGAGCCGCGCUGGAGGAAGGUGCUGCGUGGCAAGGAGAACAAGGGGUCUGUGGAAAUCAUGAGAAAGGACUUGAAUGACGCCUGGGAUCUGCAUGGCCAGGCGGAGUCAGCAGCUGCAGUGUGGAAGGGACAGGUGAUGGACCGUAGGAAGAAGGCACUGACCAACAACAAGAAGCUGCGGGCCGCCUUUGUGGAGGAGGAGGAGCACUUCCUGCAGGAGGCUGAGAAGCCCCUCCUCCUUCUCACUCAGGUCACUGCUCAGGUCUCUGCUGCAGGCGGUGUCGGAGCUGGAGACGAAGCACCGGAACCUGGGCCUCAGCAUGCUGCUGCAGUGAUGGCGCCAACCCGCGGCAGUCCCAGAGCUGGAGGCAGGAGGAUGGAUCCUCAUCUCCCUGGGAAGUGUCAGCAUGUGGCUGUCAGGGAAGUGUGGAAGGCGCCCGGCCUUGGGUCCAUCUAUAUAGUUGUGUGUUUCAACAAUGUGCCUUUAUCCUUCACCCUGAGGUGUGAGUGUUUUGGGGGCUGCAAACACCUCCUGGUAGAGGCUGGACCUGAGGACCCUUCCGACCUGUGCCCGACCCUUCCUGAAGUCCUGGCCACAGCCCAUCCUCCAUGAGUCCCGGCAGCUCUGGGCCAUGCCCUUCCUUGGUCACCCAUCUGCCCCUCAGCUUGUCAUCCAGGGACCCAGACCCUGCACCUUCCAUGCGGGCCCACAGAUCCUUGGCAGGUACCUGAGGUGCACCAUUGAGUGUCGAAUUUGGGGUUAGCAUCCAGAAAGAAGAACGCACAUGAGGCUCUGUGAAGGCUGGAACUCAGGUCUUCAGGGAAGAGAGAAAGGAAGACGAUUGCACCUUGAUGCCUCCUAGGAGGCGGCCCUCCUCUUGAGGUG